rnacentral:rRNA from 1 species
UACGUAGGGUGCAAGCGUUAAUCGGAAUUACUGGGCGUAAAGCGUGCGCAGGCGGUUUUGUAAGUCUGACGUGAAAUCCCCGGGCUUAACCUGGGAAUUGCGUUGGAGACUGCAAGGCUGGAGUCUGGCAGAGGGGGGUGAGAACUCCACGUGUGAGCAGUGAAAUGACGUAGAGAUGUGGAGGAACGACCGAUGGCGCAAGGCAGCCCCCUGGGUC